UGGGGAAUAUUGCACAAUGGGCGCAAGCCUGAUGCAGCCAUGCCGCGUGUGUGAAGAAGGCCUUCGGGUUGUAAAGCACUUUCAGCGAGGAGGAAGGGUGGUGUGUUAAUAGCACAUUGCAUUGACGUUACUCGCAGAAGAAGCACCGGCUAACUCCGUGCCAGCAGCCGCGGCAAUACGGAGGGUGCAAGCGUUAAUCGGAAUUACUGGGCGUAAAGCGCACGCAGGCGGUUUGUUAAGUCAGAUGUGAAAUCCCCGCGCUUAACGUGGGAACGGCAUUUGAAACUGGCAAGCUAGAGUCGUGUAGAGGGGGGUAGAAUUCCAGGUGUAGCGGUGAAAUGCGUAGAGAUCUGGAGGAAUACCGGUGGCGAAGGCGGCCCCCUGGACAAAGACUGACGCUCAGGUGCGAAAGCGUGGGGAGCAAACA
rnacentral:rRNA from 1 species